rnacentral:rRNA from 1 species
CUGGCGGCGUGCUUAACACAUGCAAGUCGAACGAAGCACUUUAUUUGAUUUCCUUCGGGACUGAUUAUUUUGUGACUGAGUGGCGGACGGGUGAGUAACGCGUGGGUAACCUGCCUUGUACAGGGGGAUAACAGUUGGAAACGGCUGCUAAUACCGCAUAAGCGCACGGCGUCGCAUGAUGCAGUGUGAAAAACUCCGGUGGUAUAAGAUGGACCCGCGUUGGAUUAGCUAGUUGGUGAGGUAACGGCCCACCAAGGCAACGAUCCAUAGCCGACCUGAGAGGGUGACCGGCCACAUUGGGACUGAGACACGGCCCAAACUCCUACGGGAGGCAGCAGUGGGGAAUAUUGCACAAUGGGCGAAAGCCUGAUGCAACGACGCCGCGUGAGCGAAGAAGUAUUUCGGUAUGUAAAGCUCUAUCAGCAGGGAAGAUAAUGACGGUACCUGACUAAGAAGCACCGGCUAAAUACGUGCCAGCAGCCGCGGUAAUACGUAUGGUGCAAGCGUUAUCCGGAUUUACUGGGUGUAAAGGGAGCGCAGGCGGUGCGGCAAGUCUGAUGUGAAAGCCCGGGGCUCAACCCCGGUACUGCAUUGGAAACUGUCGUACUAGAGUGUCGGAGGGGUAAGCGGAAUUCCUAGUGUAGCGGUGAAAUGCGUAGAUAUUAGGAGGAACACCAGUGGCGAAGGCGGCUUACUGGACGAUAACUGACGCUGAGGCUCGUAAGCGUGGGGAGCAAACAGGAUUAGAUACCCUGGUAGUCCACGCCGUAAACGAAGAAUACUAGGGUGUGGGGGAGCAUUGUUUCUCGGGGCCGUCGCAAACGCAGUAAGUAUUCCACCUGGGGAGUACGUUCGCAGAAAUGAAACUCAAAGGAAUGACGGGGGACCCCGCACAAGCGGUGGAGCAUGUGGUUUAAUUCGAAGCAACGCGAAGAACCUUACCAAGUCUUGACAUCCUUCUGACCGGUACUUAACCGUACCUUCUCUUCGGAGCAGGAGUGACAGGUGGUGCAUGGUUGUCGUCAGCUCGUGUCGUGAGAUGUUGGGUUAAGUCCCGCAACGAGCGCAACCCUUAUCUUUAGUAGCCAGCGGUCCGGCCGGGCACUCUAGAGAGACUGCCAGGGAUAACCUGGAGGAAGGCGGGGAUGACGUCAAAUCAUCAUGCCCCUUAUGACUUGGGCUACACACGUGCUACAAUGGCGUAAACAAAGGGAAGCAAAGCUGUGAAGCCGAGCAAAUCUCAAAAAUAACGUCUCAGUUCGGACUGUAGUCUGCAACCCGACUACACGAAGCUGGAAUCGCUAGUAAUCGCAGAUCAGAAUGCUGCGGUGAAUACGUUCCCGGGUCUUGCACA